GCCCGAGUGGCGGAAUGGUAGACGCAGCGGAUUCAAAAUCCGCCGCUGCAAGGCGUGUCGGUUCGAGUCCGACCUCGGGCA
rnacentral:tRNA from 1 species